CUUCAUGAAAGUAAAUAGAUGAGGCUGAUUGCCCCAAAGUCACUUCCUCAGUGACUUCGUUCAGGGCUCAGUUCAGCACCCCCUGAACUGUCUGAGGAGCUGGAGUUGCUCCCUCCGCAGGCGCGUUUCUGUCUGCAGGUUUAUCCUGUUCAGUAGGUCAGGGUUUGUUAUUGACAACAAUGACCUGCCGUGAGCCCUUCUGCGAGUGUGGAGCUGGGGAGCAGGAAGGGCAGCCUUAGCUGUGCUGACGCUUUGCCCUGUCAGGGCAUUUGCACGUCAAAGGCAAAGAAGAAAAAAUGUCCAAAUCAUUAAAAAACUACAUUACUAUUAAGGACUUUCUGAAGACCUUUUCUCCUGAUGUCUUCCGGUUCUUCUGCCUGCGGAGCAGCUACCGCUCAGCCAUCGACUACAGCGACAGCGCCAUGCUCCAAGCUCAGCAGCUGCUCCUGGGACUGGGCUCUUUCCUGGAGGACGCACGUGCCUAUAUGAAGGGGCAGCUGGCCUGCGGCUCCGUCAGGGAAGCGAUGCUGUGGGAGAGGUAAGAGGCCCGCCUGGCACCCGGCGUGGCGCCCCUCCUGCGGCCUGCUGGGUGCUGCUGGUGGGCUCCUGAAGGUGAAGAGGGGCCCCCAGGAGACAGGGCACUGGACAGGAGGUUUGGGGUCAGGGACUUCCCAGAGAGGCCCCAGGAGACAGGGUGCUGGGCAGGAGGUGCAGGUGUGGGGUCAGGGGCUCCCCAGAGGCCACAGG
rnacentral:sRNA from 1 species